GUCACCGCACCUUCGCCGGGUGGAGCUUGCAAACGAGGGAACGUCCGUGGGUUGCUGCUGAGUGAAAAUUGUUUGACAGGAGGAGAGGAAGACCUGCGCUCAGGGACUGACACGAUAAGUUAGUUGUUGCAACACCGCAUCGGCGGGCAGCUUUUCGGUCAGCAGCGAGGCCAACCCGGGAGCGACAAAUGAUUUGUCGGAGUCAAAGCAGCAACAGGGCACGGAGCGAAAUGUCAGCGACUGUUUCAGCCCUGAGCCGCGGAGAGCGCGACUAGUAACACCGCAACGCGGAAAACAUUCAACGCGGCGGAGAGAAUGCGAAUGGUGCGAAGAUACCGAAACCAAACAAAAUGGAAACCAUGUAGCAUCGCUCCAGCCUUCCAUAUAGCUAGAACUAACGUUAGAGUAGAGAGUAGAUAGCCAAGGAGCUAGCGCAGUAACUAACAUAUAUACAUGUAAAGUUAUUCCCCGGAGGAGCUGAAGCGGAGCCCAGGCAGGAGGCGUCUGUUGAAUCAGAGGAGUUCAUCGGUGCGGACAGGAGGACGAAACAAGAGGAUGCUUCGGAGGAGACUGAACCGCUUGUUUGGUGGUGAUGAGGGACGAGUUCACAGCAGGACGAUCUACGUUGGCCAUAAGUCCUGUCCCCCCAAUGAGGCUUAUAUCCCGCCCAAGUUUUGCGAUAACAGGAUUGUGUCCUCUAAGUAUACAGUCUGGAACUUUCUACCAAAGAACCUGUUUGAACAAUUUCGAAGAAUUGCCAAUUUUUACUUCCUUAUCAUCUUCCUGGUACAGGUGAUAGUGGACACCCCCACCAGCCCAGUCACCAGUGGCCUACCUUUAUUUUUUGUCAUCACAGUAACUGCUGUCAAACAGGGAUAUGAGGACUGGCUGCGGCACAAGGCUGACCGGGAGGUGAAUGAGUACCGGGUGUCCGUACUAGAGGAUGGCCGGAGGAUACGGAAGAUGAGUGCUAAAAUCAAGGUUGGAGAUAUUGUGGAAGUAGAAGAAGAUGAGACCUUUCCCUGUGAUCUAAUCCUGCUGCAGUCCAGCCGAGAUGAUGGCACAUGUUUUGUUACCACAGCAAGUCUGGAUGGAGAGUCCAACCAUAAAACACACUACACAGUGGCAGACCUAGAGAGUGAUCUGCAGUAUCUCAGUGCCACCAUCGAGUGUGAACAGCCUCAGCCUGACCUUUACAAAUUUGUCGGCCGUAUGCACAUUUACAGAAACAGUCAGGAGCCUGAUGUGAGAUCUUUAGGCCCAGAAAACCUGCUGCUGAAAGGAGCAAAUUUGAAGAACACUCAGAAGAUAUGUGGUGUCGCAGUUUACACUGGAAUGGAGACAAAAAUGGCUCUCAACUACCAGGGAAAAUCGCAAAAACGGUCCGCUGUGGAGAAGUCUAUCAACGCCUUCCUUCUGGUUUACCUUUUUAUCCUGGUGAGCAAAGCGCUUGUGUGCACCACACUGAAGUAUGUGUGGCAGAGCAAACACGAUGAGACGUGGUACAACGAGAAAACGCAGAAGGAGAAGGAAACUAAUCAGUACCUAAAAAUGUUCACAGACUUCUUGUCCUUCAUGGUGCUCUUCAACUUCAUCAUUCCGGUGUCCAUGUACGUCACGGUUGAGAUGCAAAAGUUCUUGGGGUCCUUUUUCAUUACAUGGGACAAAGAUUUCUUCGACCCUGAAAUCCAAGAGGGGGCGCUGGUCAACACAUCAGACCUCAAUGAGGAGUUGGGACAGGUGGAGUACAUCUUCACAGACAAGACCGGCACCCUCACUCAGAACAACAUGGAGUUCAUAGAGUGCUGCAUCGACGGCUUCCAGUACAAGCAUGGGGACGGGAGCUCAGAGUUGGACGGGUUUUGCGUCACAGAUGGACCUGUAAACAAAAUCCAGCAGAAAGCUGGCAGGGAGAGGGAGGAGCUUUUCCUUCGUGCCCUCUGUCUGUGCCACACCGUCCAGGUGAAGGAGUCUACAAAGCAGAGGCAAGACCAGAUUGACCAGAUAGAUCAGAUAGACCAGAUUGACCAGGUCGAUGGCUUAGGGCUCGAUCACGAGUUUCUGGACCCGCCACAGAAGGAAAUGGGCUUCAUAGCUUCCUCGCCCGAUGAGAUUGCUCUGGUUAAGGGAGCCAUGAGGUACGGCUUCACGUUUCUGGGCCUGGAAAGUAAAAACAUGAAAAUUCUUAACAGAAAUAAAGAUGUUGAAACGUAUGAACUACUUCAUGUGUUAAACUUUGACCCUGUGAGAAGGCGGAUGAGUGUAAUGGUCAAAUCCAAAACAGGUGACAUAUUGCUUUUCUGCAAGGGUGCAGAUUCUUCUAUUUUCCCUCAAGUCAGACAGGAGGAGGUGGAGAGGAUACGCAUGCAUGUGGAACGCAACGCAACCGAGGGCUAUCGCACAUUGUGUGUAGCCUACAAACAUCUCAGCGCACAGGAGUACGCCAGGGCAGACGCAGACUUGAGAGAAGCUAGACUGACUCUCCAGGACAGAGAGGAGAAGCUGAUGGCUGUUUACAACCGAGUGGAGACUGAUAUGAUUUUAAUAGGAGCUACAGCUGUGGAAGAUCAGCUUCAGGAUGAGGCGGCACAGACCAUGGAGGCUCUGCAGGGAGCAGGCAUGAAGAUUUGGGUUCUGACAGGGGACAAGAUGGAGACGGCCAAGUCCACCUGCUACGCUUGUGGACUGUUUAAGAAAAACACGGAACUGCUGGAGCUGACGCUGCGCACUCUUGAAGAUGGAGGGAGGAGUCGGGAGGAGAGGCUGCAUGAUCUGUUACUUGAGUACCAUAAGAAGGCUGUUCAAGAUGCCCCACCUGUGAAAUUAGGAAUUACCAGGAGUUGGUCUGUAGCCGGACAGGAUUACGGUUUCAUCAUCGAUGGAGCUUCUUUGUCGAUGGUUCUCAGCUCCUCCUCUGAACCAAACUCCAGAAGAUACAAGAACCUGUUUCUGCAGAUCUGUCAGAACUGCACGUCUGUUCUCUGCUGCCGCAUGGCCCCUCUGCAGAAAGCCCAGAUUGUUAAACUGGUGAAGAACUCCAAAGGCAACCCAAUUACUCUUUCCAUUGGUGAUGGAGCAAACGAUGUCAGCAUGAUCUUGGAAGCUCAUGUUGGCAUUGGUAUUAAGGGUAAAGAGGGUCGGCAGGCAGUAAAGAACAGUGAUUACGCCAUCCCCAAACUCAAGCACCUCAAGAAACUUUUGUUGGCUCAUGGACAUCUUUACUACGUUCGCAUUGCACACCUAGUGCAGUACUUCUUUUACAAGAAUCUUUGCUUCAUCUUACCUCAGUUUUUGUACCAGUUCUUCUGUGGCUAUUCCCAGCAACCCCUGUACGAUGCAGCCUAUCUGACGAUGUACAACAUCUGCUUCACCUCUAUGCCCAUCCUGGCUUACAGCCUUUUGGAGCAGCACAUUUGCAUUGAGGUUCUUUUGGAACACUCCACCCUCUACAGAGACAUUGCUAAGAAUGCAAUGUUACGGUGGAAGCUAUUCCUUUAUUGGACUGCGCUUGGAAUCUUCCACGGAUUAGUCUUCUUCUUUGGUGUUCGGUUUUUGUUCAGUAACCCAGCUCUGCAGGACAACGGCCAGGUUUUUGGAAACUGGUCAUAUGGAACGAUUGUGUUCACUGUCCUCGUCUUCACUGUAACGCUAAAGCUGGCUCUGGACACACGGCACUGGACAUGGAUCAACCACUUUGUAAUAUGGGGCUCCCUGGCUUUUUAUGUGUUUUUCAGCUUCUUCUGGGGAGGAAUCAUAUGGCCUUUCCUGAAGCACCAGCGUUUGUACUUUGUGUUCGCCAACAUGCUGAGCUCUGUGUCGGCGUGGCUCGUCAUCAUCUUGCUCAUCCUCCUCAGUCUACUGCCAGAGAUCCUGCUUGUGGUGCUCCGCAAGCCCCGUGGACCCCACGCUCGACAGAAAAAGUCGAGUGCGGGGGACCCCCAGUCUCCCCAGUCUUCAGCCAGGCCCCUGCUCACCAGAACCUUUUCAGAUGAAUCCAAUACUGUCAUUUAAACAGCUGGAUUAGGCUGGCUGAAGAGAGGCACUUAUUACAUUUCUGUCAUUCUGGACCAAAACGUUUGUAUGAUACGGUUAAAUAAUACACAUUUUUGCACAAACACAUGCUCCUUUCAGCCUUCCUUUUGAUGCAAAGCUUAAAUUUCCAUUUGCGUGUGCUUCUGAUGUCUCCGUUUUUAUUUACUUUCUUCCAGUCAGUUGUUUUCCUGAGUUGGAGUCUGAGGUGUCCUUCUUUUUCCUUCCUAUCUCAUGGUGUCAAACCACAGGGCUGGUCACUGUACUGCUCUGCUUUCCAGCAUUCUUGUACCAUUUGCAAUGUUGCCUUUUGAUUCUUUAGGUUAGGUCAUCUCUGUUAUUCACCGUCUGCUUAUUUUGGUAAAUAAUGCAUGCAUUUGUGCUUGUUGUCCUUGGGUUUGGUGCAUGAAGUUACUCUGAUUCAAACUAAACGUUGCUGAAUUAUGGGCUGCAGACAUCCAAAUUGCAAAGAAACAAACAUGGAUAAAACUUCUGAAAACUCCUUCGUCCCUCGAUGUGUUUUUAUUUAGCCCUGCUAAAGGAUUUAUAUCAGCUGAAGUUUUUUACAUCUUGUCUUUUUACACUCACAAACUUUCAAGUAUUUAAAGAUUGUAAGUAACACAAAGAUAAACAUGAUUACACACUGGAAGGAAACUCUUUUUAAAAUUAUACCAAUAAAAAUCUGAAACUUGUAUUACGCAAAUAUAUUUGCUCCUCUUUACUCUGGCACCUCUAAGUGAAAUCUACUUCAGCCAAUCAAUAAUUGUUAGGAUUCAGCUGUUCUGUGAAGUCUUCAGAGGUUUGUUAGAGGACAUUGGUGAACACCAGGCAGGGCAGGAAUAAAGCUGGAGUAUCUUGAGAGAUGCUCAUGUUAUGAGACGACAUCCCAAACUUAGGUAGAUGUGAUAGACACGUAAUCAAUAUUAGUAGAUAAUACAUUUGAUAUAAUGUUCAAUAAUUUCACUGAGUUCCGACCCAGAACAACAAAGCAUUCUGGGGGAUGUAGGCAGAGGAAAGACUUUAGCUUCUAAACUUCACAGCCAACUGGACAAGGUUGGUGGCAUCAACUCACUCUCUCUCUUUGGUUACCUAGCAACAACUGGUUGAGUAAGCUGCGCAGCAGCAGUUCAAGGUUUCGCCUCCGUGCUUCAUAACUGUGUAAAAAUUUUAAAACAACAGCGUGGAGUGAAGGGAGAAAAUGAGUGCGACAGCUAGAGAGGAAAGUGGAUAAAACAUUGAAUAGAUUGUGUCACCUGUUUGACAGUGUUAGAGAUAUAUAAAUAAAAAUAAAAAAAUAAAUAAUUAUUGAUAUCGACCGAUGAUGUGAAACCCUUAUAUUGUGAAAUGUUUUUCAGUUAUAUCUAAUGUCCAAAACGAUGUGUAAUUUUUCAACCUCAUUACAGUUUGGCAGCUAAUCUGAUUUGGUCCAUUACAUAAAAUCACAAUAAUUUACAUAGAAGAUUGUAGUUGUUAAAAAGACAAAAUGCUAAAAAAAAAUUCAGUAAUUAACCUAACAGGGCAAUUGUACAUUUAGAUACCUGUCUGUCCCCUGAACAUAAUGCUAAGGAGACUGGUCCCACUGUUCACCAGUGUCCCUGGCUGCCUAGCAGUAGCACACAGCUUCCUGUAAGAAUGUUUGACUUUUAACCUGGUUUUUAUUCUCCCUGUAGCUGGCAGAGGGUGGCCUCCUACAAGCUUCCAGAUCGCUGCUGUCACACCACUUUCCUACAAGCACCUGAAGGAGCGCGAGUAAGAGGCAGCCUGGACACGGCACUGAAAUCCUCCUCGUUUUGAUUUUCUUUCAUAGUGAAAGCAACUUCAAAGGGUGGAGAAAUAUUAAAAGAUGAAACAAGAGAUCAAGAUGAAGAGGAUGAAAAAAAUCAUAGAAAUUUAAAGACUUGGGAGAAGUUGAAAUCGUUUUUGAAGUCUUUUAACUUCUGUUCCUUUUUUUUUUUCCUUGUUUUUGCCCAGUCACGUUGCCCAGCGCAUGCCUGCAGAGCAGUGCUCUUCUAUAUUUUAUAAAAAUAACUCCAAUGAUGGGCAUGAGUUUUCUUCCUUUUACUUUUUUGAUAUUUGCUUACAAAUAAACGCUGCCUUGCCAGUAGCUAAGUACAACUACUUUGAACCAUUAAGCAGUUGUAAUAUCCACUCCAAGAAUGGUACAUCUGCAUGAAGGCUAAG